rnacentral:rRNA from 1 species
UAGGGAAUCUUCGGCAAUGGACGGAAGUCUGACCGAGCAACGCCGCGUGAGUGAAGAAGGUUUUCGGAUCGUAAAGCUCUGUUGUAAGAGAAGAACGAGUGUGAGAGUGGAAAGUUCACACUGUGACGGUAUCUUACCAGAAAGGGACGGCUAACUACGUGCCAGCAGCCGCGGUAAUACGUAGGUCCCGAGCGUUGUCCGGAUUUAUUGGGCGUAAAGCGAGCGCAGGCGGUUAGAUAAGUCUGAAGUUAAAGGCUGUGGCUUAACCAUAGUACGCUUUGGAAACUGUUUAACUUGAGUGCAAGAGGGGGGAGUGGAAUUCCAUGUGUAGCGGUGAAAUGCGUAGAUAUAUGGAGGAACACCGGUGGCGAAAGCGGCUCUCUGGUCUGUAACUGACGCUGAGGCUCGAAAGCGCGGGGAGCGAACAGGAUUAGAUACCCUGGUAGUCCACGCCGUNNCGAUGAGUGCUAGGUGUUAGGUCCUUUCCGGGACUUAGUGCCGCAGCUAACGCAUUAAGCACUCCGCCUGGGGAGUACGACCGCAAGGNU